UGUCUAAAUAGGCAAAUCCGUUUGGACAAUGCUAGGAUGUGAUGGGGAAGCCCUUCGGGGCGAAGUAGCUGAUUUCACACUGUCAAGAAAAGCUUCUAUCGAGUUUAAAGGCGCCUGUACCGUAAACCGACACAGGUGGGUGAGGAGAGUAUCCUAAGGCCAGCGAGAGAACUAUUGUUAAGGAACUCGGCAAAAUGACCCCGUAACUUAGGGAGAAGGGGUGCCUGUCUAUGACAGGCCGCAGAGAAUAGGCCCAAGCGACUGUUUACCAAAGACACAGGUUUCUGCUAAGUCGCAAGACGAUGUAUAGGAGCUGACGCCUGCCCGGUGCUGGAAGGUUAAGGGGAUCUGUUAGAGCAAUCGAAGCAGUGAACUUAAGCCCCAGUAAACGGCGGUCGUAACUAUAACGGUCCUAAGGUAGCGAAAUUCCUUGUCGGGUAAGUUCCGACCCGCACGAAAGGCGUAACGAUUUGGGCACUGUCUCAACAAUAGACUCGGUGAAAUUGUAAUCCCGGUGAAGAUGCCGGGUACCUGCGACAGGACGGAAAGACCCCAUGGAGCUUUACUGUAGCUUGACGCUGGGUCUUGGUACUACAUGUACAGGAUAGGUGGGAGACUAUGAAGCAUGGACGCCAGUCUGUGUGGAGUCAUCCUUGGGAUACCACCCUUGUAGUACUGGGAUCCUAACCAUAGGCCUUGAAUCAGGUCUUGGAACACCGUCAGGUGGGCAGUUUGACUGGGGCGGUCGCCUCCUAAAAAGUAACGGAGGCGCUCAAAGGUUUCCUCAGCACGGUCGGAAAUCGUGCGAAGAGUGUAAAGGCAAAAGGAAGCUUGAUUGCAAGACAUACAGGUCGAGCAAGGACGAAAGUCGGACUUAGUGAUCCGGUGGUACCGCAUGGAAGGGCCAUCGCUCAACGGAUAAAAGCUACCCUGGGGAUAACAGGCUUAUCUCCCCCAAGAGUCCACAUCGACGGGGAGGUUUGGCACCUCGAUGUCGGCUCAUCACAUCCUGGGGCUGUAGUAGGUCCCAAGGGUUGGGCUGUUCGCCCAUUAAAGUGGUACGCGAGCUGGGUUCAGAACGUCGUGAGACAGUUCGGUCCCUAUCCGUCGCAGGCGUAGGAAAUUUGAGAAGACCUGUCCUUAGUACGAGAGGACCGGGAUGGACGUACCUCUGGUGUACCAGUUGUUCUGCCAAGGGCAUGGCUGGGUAGCUAUGUACGGAAUGGAUAAGCGCUGAAAGCAUCUAAGCGCGAAGCCAACUUCAAGAUAAGAUUUCCCACCGUAAGGGUAAGACCCCAGGAAGACUACCUGGUUGAUAGGUCGAAGGUGUAAGUGCAGUAAUGUGUUUAGCUUAUCGAUACUAAUAGGUCGAGGACUUGAUC
rnacentral:rRNA from 1 species